UGACUGUUGCCAUUGACUGAUGUUACAUCAUGAAGGAGAUACUGAGCUGCCUCUCUGAGUGAACUCAACUUUCUUCACUGCUGACAUCUUGUUCAAGAAGUUAUUUGACUGUUGCCGUUGACUGAUGUUACAUCAUGAAGGAGAUACUGAGCUGCCUCUCUGCGUGAAGUCAACUUUCUUCAUUGCGGACAUCUUGUUGAAGAAGUUAUUUGCCUGUUGCCAUUGACUGAUGUUACAUCAUGAAGGAGAUACUGAGCUGCCUCUCUGAGUGAACUCAACUUUCUUCACUGAUGACAUUCUUUUCAAGAAGUUAUUUGACUGUUGCCAUUGACUGAUGUUACAUCAUGAAGGAGAUACUGAGCUGCCUCUCUGAGUGAAGUCAACUUUCUUCACUGCGGACAGCUGGUUUUCGAAAACGCCCGUUUUGAAAAGGUGUCCUUUGUGUGGAAGAGGGCGCUCCACCGUGCGGAGACCGUAUAAAAUGCCAGGUCCUUGGGCCAUUGGUUUCAUUCUUGUUCUGAUGCUGGUCGUGGAAGGUGCCUUGCCGAUGCUCUUGAUGUUCUGAGCAUGAUGAUGUCAACCUUUGGGUCCUUAGUGGUCUCAGUCCCGUACCAUUGACACCCAAGCUACACCAACAUCCGACCCUCUGCCCUGAAGGAUGUCUGCCCGAAGGAUGUCCGCCCGAAUCCAACUUCAAAACAUUGUGAUAUUGAACAAUGCUGACUUGCAAAUGUGUUGUGGUUCUGGUUCGUCAUCAACCCAAGAACUUGCUGUUGAAGAGAUGAACUGUUGCAGUCCAAGAUUUGAAAGUAAAACUUUAAACAUUUAAUGUCUAUAUAUUUGUAAAAAUUUCAUCCAACAAUGUUUGGAUUUGUAUCGAAUUUGCUAGAAAUGGCUUUUAACCUUUGCUAAGAAUGGCAAGAAACUUUGCUGAAAAUGGCGUUAAACUUUGCUAGAAAUGUUUGUUAAAACAGCACCAAACUUUGCUAGAAAGUGUGUGUUAAUUUUGAUUACAAGAAACUGUGCUAAAAACUUUGCAUAAAAUAGCGUAAACCUUUGCUAGAAAUUGCAUCAAAAUUGCGUCAAACUUGGGUAUUGCAUCAAGAUUUCCUUAAUAUUUGCAUAUAAUUUGUUUAAUAAAAUGCAUGAUCAUUUUGAUUACAAGAGACUAUGCCAAAAACUUUACUAGAAACUUUACUUUGCUGAAAAUUGUGUCAAACUCUGCUGAAAAUUGCAUAAAACUUGCUGCUAGAAAAAAAAAAAAAAAAAGGUGUUAACAUGCUGCUUAACAUGGCCAAAACCUUUGCUAAAAAUUGCUACAAACUUUGUAUAAAAUGGCGUCAAACUUUGCUGAAAUUGCAUAAAAUUUUGCUUAAUAAUGGCGUCAAACUUUGCUAGAAUUUACAAGAAACUUUGCUUCAAAUUGCAUCAAACUUGGCUUGGCUAUUGCAUCAAAAUGUGUUUGAAUUUUGUUUAAAGAUUUGUGUUAAUUUUUAAUGUAAGAAACUAUAUGCUAGAAACUGUGUCAAACUAGAAACUUUGCUGAAAAUGGUGUUAAACUUUCCCAAGAAUUUUGCUAAACAUGGCGUCAAACUCUGCUAAAAAUUUGCAUCAAAAUCUGCUCGAAAUUUUGCUUAAAAAUUGCGUCAAACUUUGCUAGAUAUUUUAUUAGACUUUGCAAGAUACUUUGCUUGAAAUGGCGUGAAACUUUGCUAAAAAUUUGCAUCAGAAUCUGCUCGAAAUUUUGCUUAAAAAUGGAGUCAAACUUUGCUAGAAAUUUCUUUAGACUUUGCAAGAUACCUCUGCUAAAAAUGGCGUCAAACUCUGCUAAAAACUUUGCUUAAAAUGGCGUCAAACUUUGCUAAAACAUGCAAGAAACUUUGCUUCAAAUUGCAUCAAACUUGGCUUGGCUAUUGCAUCAAAAUGUGUUUGAGUUUUGUUUAAAAAUUUGUGUUAAUUUUGAAUGUAAGAAACUAUAUGCUAGAAACUGUGUCCAACUGUGCUAGAAACUUUGCUGAAAAUGGUGGAAAACUUUCACAAGAUUUUUGCUGAAAAUGGCGUCAAACUUUGCUAAAAAUUUGCAUCAAAAUCUGCUCGAAAUUUUGCUUAAAAAUGGCGUCAAACUUUGCUAGAAAUUUUAUUAGACUUUGCAAGAUACUUUGCUUAAAAUGGCGUCAAACUUUGCUAAAAAUUUGCAUCAAAAUCUGCUCGAAAUUUUGCUUAAAAAUGGCGUCAAACUUUGCUAGAAAUUUUAUUAGACUUUGCAAGAUACUUUGCUUAAAAUGGCGUCAAACUUUGCUAAAAAUUUGCAUCAAAAUCUGCUCGAAAUUUUGCAUAAAAAUGGCGUCAAACUUUGCUAGAAAUUUUAUUAGACUUUGCAAGAUACUUUGCUUAAAAUGGCGUCAAACUUUGCUAGAAAUUUUAUUAGACUUUGCAAGAUACUUUGCUUAAAAUGGCGUGAAACUUUGCUACAAAAUUGCAUCAACCUCUGCUUAAAAUGUUGCUUAAAAAUGGCAUCAAACUCUGCUAAAAACUUUGCUUCAAAUGGCGUCAAACUUUGCUAAAAUUUGCAUCAAACUGUUCCAAAAUGUGUUUGAAUUUUGUUUAUAAAAUAUUUGCUUUAAUUUUGAUUGAAAAAUUCCCUUCAUGUAUUGUAAACACUUUCUUUAAUUUUGCAUUUAAAUUUUGCCUAAAUUUUGAACUUAAUUUGUAAUUACUGUCUUUAACUUGUUUCACAAUAUGUACUUUUUGAAACUACAAUAAACUUGUUACUUUUCACUCAUGUCCUAGCACUUUAUUUCACAAGUCCGACUAAUUUCCGGAGUAGUUCCGCCAAAUCAGCAAGUAACUUUUCCAAAAGUUCCUUGCUGAUUUGGUGGAACUACUUCAAAUAAUUUAAAAUAAUUUUUUAAAUAA